rnacentral:rRNA from 1 species
AAUGAACGUUGGCGGCGUGGAUUAGGCAUGCAAGUCGAGCGAGAACCUCGCAAGAGGGGACAGCGGCAAACGGGGUAGUAAUGUGUCGGAACGUGCCCUCUGGACGGGGAUAGCGGCGGGAAACUGCCGGUAAUACCCGAUGAACUCGAGAGAGCAAAGGUGUGAUUCCGCCGGAGGAGCGGCCGACAUGGUAUUUAGCUAGUUGGCGGGGUAACGGCCCACCAAGGCUGUGAUGCCUAGGGGAUGUGAGAGCAUGAUCCCCACCAUUGGGACUGAGACACUGCCCAGACACCUACGGGUGGCUG